AAUUCUCAAACCCAUCAGCUUGUGUUGUUGGGCUUUGGAUGUGGAGGCUUUGCUGGCCUUUUAGGUCAGCUCCUCUUAAAUACAUUAGCGGAACCGUUUGUGAUCCAUCACAGGUGUGAUAAUUAUCUAUGCCAGUGGGUUGCUCUCUGUCUUGUUCAGCUGCAAAUUGUCCCCAAGGGACAACCAUUACUGAAU
rnacentral:misc_RNA from 1 species